ensembl:lncRNA
CCUUCAUGCAUAUUCAACACGUAAUUCACCUGCUACGCCUAUACAAGGAUGGAUGAUUUAACUUCAGAUAGUUCUGGUUUAUUAAGACUCAGCCCAGUUCUGCAGACUUUACUCCAGCUGAGUAAUGCUCAUUUCCGCCACUAUUCCACUUGUUUUAAUGAGAUUACUGGUGGAGUAAGGGACUAUUCGAUGUGAGUAAAAUUGGCAGAAUCAGGAUCAGAUUAAGGCAAUCCCCAGACUCACCACCACAUGGGCUCCCUUUAGUCCGAUCCCUGCCAUAGCCUUGAUCUUCACACCAUCGCACCACGUGGGAUGCUGGCAGCCAGGAGCAUCCACAAAUGCAAUCUUCUGGGUGGUAGGGGUCUGCCACCAUUUCCUUUUGAGUAGUCUGGGCCACACCUGAUCUCUUCCCUACUCCUUGUCUCCAGGUGAUCUUGGGUCCAUCCAGGAGAAGAAAGGACUCAUCCUCCUCCCACCCGAGUGCAGAAUUCCCUAUAUACCCAGCACCACCCAAACAAAACCAGGAUGGGAUGGCAGCAGAAAGAGACCUCUACUGCGGUGGCAGGGUGGUGUAGGUGUGCUCCUCCUAAUCAACCCAUAUGCAGGAACCCCAGCUCCAAGGAGAUAGUAACUCUCCCAACCAUUUCUAUGCUAAGGGGUGAGAAAGAAAGUGACAGUUCAAAAGGAGAAAAUCUUAAGCAGACUUCAUGCCUGACACAUCCUACUACACUUUGCAAAAAUUACCAUAACUACCUCCAAUAAUUACAGGCUAUAUUCUACACAAAUGUAUAAAGCAACAUGAAGAUAUCCCGAUUUCCAUGACACCUGUCUCUUCAUUAGCAGCAAGAAUCUUCUAUAUAACUGCCAAUAAUCCUGGAGAAACUAGAAGGGCUAUAUGGUAUGAAUGUGUCAUUUACACAGUUAUCAUUUGCUCAAGGAAGAAUUAAAUCAAUUUGUGAAAGCCAUGAUGUUAUAGGCUCAUAUACAUACAUCUGAAAGGUAUAAAAGUCUUAGGGAUGUAGUCUUAUUUUGGAUAUUUUGUCUGAGCUCACAUCACUGCACAUUGUAUUGUAAACACAGCUACAGCACAAAUAUACACCAUGGGAGUAAAAAGCAAUUUUAGAAGAUAGCUGAUGACAUUAUACCUUGUAUGAGAUCAUAAUUAAACCAUUAGUUUGACCAGAUGAUCCAGUAUUGCUAUGAGAAAUGAGAUUAGAGUCUGAUGUAAUCCAUUCAAGUGGAAAGAGUUUGUUAAACUGAUUGCAGUAAAAUAAGAUUUUUUUUUUCUGGGCUGUUUUUCUGUUGAGUUGGACAUAUGGAUUUCAGGAGACAGAUGUGGCUAAAAAUUCUGAUCACUGUAUCUAUGGGCCAGAUCUGCAAAGAUGGGAACUGUUGGGAAAUUGGCCCUACAAAUUUAAUUUAGUUGUGAGAUCAAUAUGGAAGUGCAUAAAAUGUUAAAAUAACCUAUAAUAACAAAUGUUUACAGAAUGUUAUAAACAGAUGCAAAAGAACCAAACAGAAAGACUAAAUUAGUCCAAACAAAAAGGCCAAGUUGAAUAAUUUAAGGACUAUGUUGAAAUCAUGCUUGGUAAAAACAGAAAAUGUGGAACCAGAAAUUAAUUAACCAAAGUGUGUUGGAUAUUAGGCCAAACUGGUGGACAAAAUAAUGAGGGGAUGAGCUAUUCCACCCUCCAUUCCCUUUGUGGUUCCUUAAGAAAGAACAGAUGGAGGAGAAAUACAUAUGGAGGCUACUGGAAUAAGUUUCACCAAUAUGGCUGCUACUCCAACUGCCUCCUGAGACCCCAGGGCCCAAAGAGAGGGACUCAAAUAACAUCGCCACCUCUACCAGCUCCAGCUGAAUCCCAACUACCACCUGAGGUGAGAUAGGAUUGAACUUUAACAGCAACAGCUCUAGCCCAUCUCAACUAACUUCUCUUUUCCCCAAAAGGACAAUUACCAUCUUUGGUACCAUUUAAGAGACUGGAGGGUUUUCUUCCUAAAACUCUCUCCAGCUAAAGGGAAAUGGAACAAGAAGUGUUCUUAAAAUGAAAACCUUAUGUUACAUUUCAAAUACUUUAAUGGUUUUCCCUUAGUUUCUGUAUCUUUAAUAAAAGGUUAAAAGGGAUUUUUAGUGGUGUGUUA